AUUGAACGCUGGCGGCAGGCCUAACACAUGCAAGUCGAGCGAGCGGCGGACGGGUGAGUAAUGUAUGGGGACUGCCCGAUAGAGGGGGCUAACUACUGGAAACGGUGGCUAAUACCGCAUACUAUCGGAUAACCCAUAUUGUAUUAGCUAGUAGGUAAGGUAAUGGCUUACCUAGGCGACGAUCCCUAGCUGGUCUGAGCGGCUGAUCAGCCACUCGGGAACUGAGACAGGGCCAAGACUCCUACGGAGGCAGCAGUGGGGAAGAUUGCCCAAUGGGCGCAAGCCGGAGGCAGCCCUGCCGAGUGUAUGAAGAAGGCCCUAGGGUUGUAAAGUACUUUCAGUCGGGAGGCGUUACCGACAGAAGAAGCACCGGCUAACUCCGUGCCAGCAGCCGCGGUAAUAC
rnacentral:rRNA from 1 species